rnacentral:rRNA from 1 species
UGGGGAAUAUUGCACAAUGGGCGCAAGCCUGAUGCAGCCAUACCGCGUGUAUGAAGAAGGCCUUCGGGUUGUAAAGUACUUUCAGCGGGGAGGAAGGUGUUGUGGUUAAUAACCUCAGCAAUUGACGUUACCCGCAGAAGAAGCACCGGCUAACUCCGUGCCAGCAGCCGCGGUAAUACGGAGGGUGCAAGCGUUAAUCGGAAUUACUGGGCGUAAAGCGCACGCAGGCGGUCUGUCAAGUCGGAUGUGAAAUCCCCGGGCUCAACCUGGGAACUGCAUCCGAAACUGGCAGGAUUGAGUCUUGUAGAGGGGGGUAGAAUUCCAGGGGUAGCGGUGAAAUGCGUAGAGAUCUGGAGGAAUAGCGGUGGCGAAGGCGGCCCCCUGGACAAAGACUGACGCUCAGGUGCGAAAGCGUGGGGAGCAAACA